GCCAAUAUCUGCCAAUUUCUUGUCCAUUCAACCAAGCCAUUCCUUUUCCCAUAUGAAUCAUAUCAAGUGCAACAGGUUCAUUACCAGGAGGCGCAUCUACUACUGCCUUAUACCAUGUGAGGGGCUGUUGCUUUGGUGGCUGCGAAGUUGGUGCCCAAAUUUUACUCUUCAAGUUAUAUGACUUCUGUAUCCUCAAAUGUUCUCCUUGCAAUCCAAUCUUAUAGGUCCAAGCAGACGCAGUCAAGUCCAUAGUCCCAGUCUUGAACCCUGCAACUUUGACACUUGUUGGACCAGCUCCAAUCCAUUCAUAAAACGCUCCAGCUGUUUGUAGGCCCACAGUCAUGCUUAACAAGGCAAUUUCAUUCUUCCCUGCCUUUAGAGCAAUAGGAGUUCCAAACUUGAACUGUGGCACUGUGCCAUUUCCAGAUGCACU
rnacentral:misc_RNA from 1 species